GGCCAGGUAACUGCUGGUUCUAUCCCCAGAUCUGUCCGGUCAAUUACUGAGCACUAUAUGGCAAGUUCGGAUCUUGCAUCUGGUUUCCUCGGCUCUUCCCUUUCCACGACAAAUGCAGAUUUUCCUCCAUAGGAAGAAGUUCCAAAAGAAACUGUUUGCUUUCCAUUUGGUAGUAUCAAAAUCC